rnacentral:rRNA from 1 species
AACUAUAACGGUCCUAAGGUAGCGAAAUUCCUUGUCGGGUAAGUUCCGACCCGCACGAAUGGUGUAACGAUCUGGGCACUGUCUCAACUACCCACCCGGCGAAAUUGUAGUACCGGUGAAGAUGCCGGUUACCUGCGGCAAGACGGAAAGACCCCAUGGAGCUUUACUGUAGCCUGAUAUUGGGUUUCGGAAAUCUAUGUACAGGAUAGGCGGGAGACUAGGAAACAUGAGCGUCAGCUUGUGUGGAGUCGAUGUUGGGAUACCGCCCUUAGGUUUCUGGAAUUCUAACCUGCGGCCGUGAAUCCGGUCGGGGGACAUUGUCAGGUGGGCAGUUUGACUGGGGCGGUCGCCUCCGAAAAGGUAACGGAGGCGCUCAAAGGUUAGCUCAGCACGGACGGAAACCGUGCCUCUGAGUGUAAACGCAAAAGCUAGCCUAACUGCGAGGGUGACGGCCCGAGCAGUAACGAAAGUUGGAGUUAGUGAUCCGGCGGUAUGUGAAUGGAAAUGCCGUCGCUCAACGGAUAAAAGCUACCCUGGGGAUAACAGGCUGAUCUCCCCCAAGAGUCCACAUCGACGGGGAGGUUUGGCACCUCGAUGUCGGCUCAUCACAUCCUGGGGCUGUAUUCGGUCCCAAGGGUUCGGCUGUUCGCCGAUUAAAGUGGUACGCGAGCUGGGUUCAGAACGUCGCGAGACAGUUCGGUCCCUAUCUGUCGUGGGCGCAGGAUAUUUGAGGAGCUCUGUCCUUAGUACGAGAGGACCGGGAUGGACGUACCUCUGGUGCACCAGUUGUCAUGCCAAUGGCACGGCUGGGCAGCUAUGUACGGAACGGAUAAACGCUGAAAGCAUCUAAGCGUGAAGCCGACUCCAAGAUUAGAUAUCCCAUCGUAUAACGAGUAAGACCCCUUGAAGACUACGAGGUUGAUAGGCUGCGUGUGUAAGUGCCGUGAGGCAUUCAGCUUGGCAGUACUAAUAGGUCGAGGGCUUGACCAC